GUGAGAGCAAGUUCAUGGGGUAUAAAUACGAGUGUCUCACGUAUCUAGACGUGUACCAAGCUGCACUGACGAGGCGUUGAACGCCGAAACAUGCAUGUCUGCAGAUUGUACUAUUACGCUCCUUCACUUCGGUGUUGUUGAGCACUCUGCGGAGUUGUUAAUGGGUGUCUAUUAGCGAUAAUGCAAAGCCCACUUCCCUUGUGGUCGUUUGAGCACUCUGGCCCCAUUACGCUCUGCGCAUGUCUGGAUACGUCGAGUCACCGUGUUGUACCACAUGCCUUGGUGAGAGCAAGUUCAUGGGGUAUAAAUACAAGUGUCUCACGUAUCUAGACGUGUACCAAGCUGCACUGACGAGGCGUUGGACGCCGAAACAUGCAUGUCUGCAGAUUGUACUAUAUAUAUAUAUAUAUAUAUAUAUAUAUAUAUAUAUAUAUAUAUAUAUAUAUAUAUAUAUAUAUAUAUAUAUAUAUAUAUAUAUAUAUAUGACUGUGUUUGAGGAAACAUGUCUGGUUAAUAUUCUUGUGGUUUUGUUGAACUUUUCUUCAGACAUACAAAGUAAAAACUUUUAUCCGUAAAAUAAAGUU